rnacentral:rRNA from 1 species
UACGUAGGGUGCAAGCGUUGUCCGGAAUUAUUGGGCGUAAAGAGCUCGUAGGCGGUCUGUCGCGUCUGCUGUGAAAACCUAGGGCUUAACCCUGGGCCUGCAGUGGGUACGGGCAGACUAGAGUGCGGUAGGGGAGACUGGAAUUCCUGGUGUAGCGGUGAAAUGCGUAGAUAUCCGGAGGAACACCGGUGGCGAAGGCGGCUUCCUGGACCGAUACUGACGCUGAGGCGCGAAAGCUAGGGGAGCAAACGGG